rnacentral:rRNA from 1 species
CCUACGGGUGGCAGCAGUAGGGAAUAUUGCUCAAUGGGGGAAACCCUGAAGCAGCAACGCCGCGUGAAUGAUGAAGGUUUUCGGAUUGUAAACUCCUUUUGUUAGAGAAGAUAAUGACGGUAUCUAACGAAUAAGCACCGGCUAACUCCGUUCCAGCAGCCGCGGUUAUACGGAGGGUGCAAGCGUUACUCGGAAUCACUGGGCGUAAAGAGAGCGUAGGCGGGAUAGCAAGUCAGAUGUGAAAUCCUAUGGCUUAACCAUCGAACUGCAUUUGAAACUGUUAUGCUAGAGUGUGGGAGAGGUAGGUGGAAUUCUUGGUGUAGGGGUGAAAUGCGUAGAGAUCAAGAGGAACA